UACGAAGGGGGCUAGCGUUGCUCGGAAUCACUGGGCGUAAAGCGCACGUAGGCGGAUCUUUAAGUCAGGGGUGAAAUCCCGGAGCCCAACUCCGGAACUGCCUUUGAUACUGGAGAUCUUGAGUCCGGGAGAGGUGAGUGGAACUGCGAGUGUAGAGGUGAAAUUCGUAGAUAUUCGCAAGAACACCAGUGGCGAAGGCGGCUCACUGGCCCGGUACUGACGCUGAGGUGCGAAAGCGUGGGGAGCAACAGG
rnacentral:rRNA from 1 species